rnacentral:rRNA from 1 species
AGCCGUAGCCAUAUCACUCUACAGCCCAAGACUGGUUGCCCACUGAAGCUAAGCAGGGUUGAGCCUGGUCAGUACCUGGAAUGGGAGACCUCCUGGGAAAACUAGGUUGCUGUUGGAA